GUGCUCAAUUCUGCAGCACAUACACUAAAAUUGGAGAUUAGCAUGGCAUCUACGCAAGGGUGACACGCAAAUUCGUGAAGUGUUUCACGUACCA
ensembl:snRNA U6 U6 spliceosomal RNA